GUUUACAGAGAUAUAGUUAGAACUGCCUCGGUAAUGGUGGACUGCCUCUGUAAUGGUGGACUGCCUCUGUAAUGGAGGACUGCCCCAGUAAUGGCGGAUGCUCUCCCCCACCACAGAGUUGGACUGUCCCAGGUCCAGCUGCAUUUGUUGUGAAAUUUUCAAUCCAGAGCAUUUCAGAUUGCUGGUCUUUGUGGGGUGGGACCUGCUGAGCUAGAUCACCUAGCUCCUGUUUCAGCCCCAUUUUUUCCAGUUAAAUGGGCAGCUCUGUCUCCCAGGUGUUCCAGGGGCCUGUUGAAACAGCCGCCCAGAUUUGUGUGAGUUUUUGUGCAGAGACCCACUGCACAGGCUGAAACAGCCAUGCUGAAAACUCAUGAUGCUUUUCAGUCCAGCAAUCUCCUGGUGUGUGGCAGUAAAAACUCGUUUGGAAAUGCGGUGAUC